rnacentral:lncRNA from 1 species
AAUUUUUCUUCUUAUCCAUUUCUAGGUACAAGAUGAUUACCUGGACUGCUUUGGUGAUCCAUCAGUCACAGGCAAAGUUGGAACAGACAUAGCAGAGGGCAAGUGCACCUGGCUAUCUGUUGUAGCACUACAGAGAGCAACACCAGCACAGAGGGCUCUCAUGGAGCAACAUUACGGCAAUCCAGAAGAGGAGAGUGUGAAUAAAGUUAGGGCACUUUACAAGGAACUGGGUCUACCUGCUACAUAUCGUGCAUAUGAAGACUCCACUUCUUCCAUGAUUCGAGUCCACAUUCAACAGAUUUCACGUGGCCUCAAUCACAAUGUAUUUUUUAAGUUCUUAGAUAAAAUCCAUAAGCGCUCAAGCUAGAGAUGUCGAAUACACUUCUUAAGUCUCAUGUAGUAUAUAUUCUCAUAUAACCAUUGUUUUGUUGAGACAACAAACAUUCAUUUGAUCUUGAUAUCAAAUUGUUUUAUGAGUAUUGAUCAAAGAAAGACUGUGUGUAGGGGUUUUAGUGCAGUAUUUGAAGAACUGGAUAGGUGUUGUACUAUGCAAAGUUUAUUAUUCAAGGAACCGUUUUGUUUAUCUGUUGCUGCGGUGAUGGCAUCAUUGUAAUAUGAAUUAAUGUUUGCUGCAUCUGUUCAUGCAAUGUGUAUAUA